CUCGCGCGGCAGCUCGCUCCCUCCCCGCCCGUCAGUGUGUGUUCCAGGCGCCUCCAUGCGCCCGGCCUCUGCCGGGGGCUGUUUGUCAGAUUUACAUGAAUCUGUCCUAAUAGUUGCUUAAUCGAUUCUGUACUUGCUUUUCUUAAGUGAUCAAGAACAGCAAACGGCUCAGUUUACACUUUACAUCUAUCUAUGCUCUUCACUGCAGCGUAUAGCUACCCAUUGUUACCCUAAGAUCAAUCCAGUGCCAGAGGGCAAGGACCUCACUGGUAUCAGACAGAAGGGACCAUCACAGCAAUCUAUAUGUCACCAAUGAAAUUAAGUAAGGUGUGACAACAACAAUGGAAGCUUCAUUUACAUUAAAUCAGCAAAGGAAUGGGAAGCCCACAGGAAGGGAAGACCAGCAUGAGGUCAACCUGCCUCUUGAAACAAGGUCACUAAACUGUGAGAGAUUUAAGCAGAGAUAGAAAGCCAUUUUGUCAUCCAUCACUGGACAGACACAAGAGGCCAGAGCUCUUGCAAGCUGAGAAAGAUGGGUCCUUCAACUAAGGAGGGAUUGCAGUCUCUGAGAACUGAAUAUAGGUGAGAAACCUGCAUUGGCAAAGAUUUUUCACCUUGGAAGACAAGGGAACCCAGCACCUUGUGCUUCUGUGGAAGGUCCUGAUUGAAGGAAAGUCAGCCAUGGCUGGGAAGAAGAAUGACUGUCAGGAGGAACCAUCUUGAAGAAAGCCUGUUCUGUGCUAGAUUUUAAGUUUUAGACUAUGCGUUUUCACUUUUAUUUGCUUGUAACUAUCUCUAUUUUUAUUUCUUUCACUUGGCAUCACUUAACCAUGUCCUAUUGUUAACAAAUCUGUUUUAUUUUUACUAUAAACCAACUCUGUGUUGUUUGAAGGGAAAAGUUUAUUUACCUCAGUCAAGUUAAUAAGCUGUAAUGUGCUUUUGUCACUUGCAGAGCACACGGUUUGGGAAAACUUGGGACUGGAAGUGUGUUGAGGUCACCCUGUAAGAAGUAACUAAGGCUGGUGGUGGCCAGGGUGGGGCUGUUGUGCUAUAGACAGGAUGCUGGAGCUGGAGUUGCUGAUCCAGGGAUGUACAGCACACAGACACUUGGGUGUGACCUGCAUGUUUUUCUGCUGGCUGCUAGUGUCUAGGCUGUGAGCUACAGUAGUGGGGCAUUUCAUGGACCCAGGGUUACAGGGCAGGUUGUGACUCAACCCCUCACUGGUUUGGAUUGCACCCCAUACACUACACACUAUGCCAGUAGUGUGCAGUGUAGAUGGAGCCCUAAUGUGGAAUCAGAGUGUUUCCUCCCCCCCCCCCCGCCCAGGGGAUAGUAUGGAAUGGCUAUUGCAGUUUUAAUGCAUACGCUAGCUGUUUCACACUAACUAACCUGUGAAUUCCCCAUGUAGACAAGCCCUCAGUGUUUUUUGUAGACACAGGACUAUAUUUUGCUUUUUGUGGUAUUUAGCAAUAUUUGGGACCCAUUUCUUCUCCCUGGGGAAUUUAGUAUAAGUCUAGAUGGGUUGUAAAGUAACACAGCGGUACUUUCGCCCGCACUCUCAGAGUGAAAUCCUAACUCCAUGGAAGACAAUGGGAAUUUUGCUACAUUCAUUUCACCAAGCAUCAAGAUACAGCUUCAUCCAUACCGUGUACCUUAUGUAUAGCAGCUGGUUGGAUAGUUUCAUAGUAUAGGGCUGGAAAAUGCAUUAGACACGCUGUUCAUGUUAAGCUUCCCAAUAAUUGCUACUUCUUGGUGAUAUAAAAGAUCGCACUUCAGUGUCCUUUGUUAUUGCUGCUUUGUAAAGGCUAAGGAAAUGGGGAAAGAAGCAGAAUAUGACUUCAUCUAUCCAGAACAGGAAAAUCAUUCUUAGCCCAUAAAAUACAGAACUGUUGUUAAAAAAACCUUGACCACUGUAUACUAUCAGUUGAUCUUGGUGAUUGAGUUUUGACGGCAGAUCUAAAACACCUUUUUGUUUGAGUAUCUUCACAUCACUGACAUGUGAUGCUGAAGGAGGGAUACAGGGCAAUUAAUAAAAAUACUUUAUAUUUCCUCUAAUGCUUUCCAUCCAAAGAUCUCAAAGCACUUUGCAAACAAUUAAUCAAGUCUCAAAACACCUCAGGAGGUAGGUACUAUUGUUUUACAGAUGGGAAAACUGAGCCAUAGAGCAGUUAAGUGACUUGCCCAUGGUUGCACAGAAAGUCUGUUGCGAUCUUGGAAAGGAAUAGCAAUUGUCCGUUGCCUAUUUCUGUGUUAUAAAGGACUUCCCAAUGGGAGAUGCUAGGUAACAAGCUCUUUUGAGAAUCUGGCCACAAUUGUGGAUGCAGAGUACUUUUAAAAAUAUGAUUUCUGGGGCCUCAAUUUUUGAAUGCCCAACUCAAGACAUCUCAAAAACACCUAAUUUUCAGAGGGCAAUGAGCACCCAUCCACUCAAAAUCAGGUCCCUUUUGGUGCAUUUCAGGUUGGGUACUCAAACACCAGGGCAUCCAAAAUCACUAGUCACAUUUGAUAACAUUGGCCAAAGUAUUUUUCAGGCUACAGCACCCAUAGUAGAGUUCUGUGUUUAUUUUGGGGAUGCGAGAAGCAGCGUACGCACCUUGCUGAUUACAGAGUCAGAGAAGGGGAGAGAAGACGGAGGUAAUUAGUGUAUGCUUCUACAUAUUGGUUAAAUGGGCAGCAUCAACAGAAUUUCCAUUUAGGGAAACUAGUAGCAAUGUUGUAGUCUUGUUAAUAUCAAUUGGAAUUGGUGCCUGAGAAAGCAGGAUUGGUGUUGAUUAGAAAUUGCAGGAAAGAUAUUGAUUUUGGGCCAAUCCUGCAGUCAUUAGUAGCCCCUAAUAACGUUAUUGGGACUACUAGCAUAAGUAAGGACUACUCAUUGAGUAAGUGUCUUAAAUAUAUCUUAUAAUAAAUCUGGGCCACACUGGGCUAUUAAUUUCAAGCAGAACUCCCCAUAAGUGGGAGUUCUGUUGUUCAAAUUAUGCUAUCAUAUGGCCCUCCAUUAUUAUUUCCUCAUGUUAUAAUAAAAUUAGUUCUUGAAAAUUGAUCUUAUUUUACAACUUAUCAUUUUAGAGAUAUAAAACUUGGUAGCAUAUGACAAUCAAUUUAACCAAAUAUAUUGAAAAUGUAUUGAGAUAUAUAUUUUCUUUUCUGAAAAGGUCUUUUCCCCUUAAUGCCAUUUGUACAGGUUUCUGGCCAGGAAGAAUUAUGCAAACAGCUUGUAUAUAAAAACAAAACAAAAUCUUGUUUCUUAUUUCACAGGUAUGUGUUGCAUGUUACCAGAAAUCACAUGCACUUACAGAGUAAGAUUUUUGUCUUCCAUUGCUAACAGAGAGGCCAUCAAGCAAUUACAGAGAAACAUAUUUUCUUGUUCAUACUUAAGACACAUUUCUGCAACUUUGACUGACAGAAAGAGUCCUUAUGCCUAUGACUAAGACACCCUUGAAUAGGAUUUUACAGGAUUGGCCCUGAUUUUGUAUUCUUCACAUAAAACAAUACAGCUUCUUUUCAUUAGCAUUAAACUAUGCCGGGGCUGGCAUAAAGACAGCCUGAGACUGAAGGAACCACAAUUGACUCCUUUACUCCCGCCCACCCUCUGCUGUGCCCAUUGGUGUCAGGGGCUGCAUCUGAGGACUUCAGAUGCUUUGCCAUAUGUCUGUCUGUCUCCCUAUCUAAUCACAGUGGCCUCUGAAUGCAUUACAAUAAAUUUAAUAAAGGCCGGAAUCUUAAAUAAUUGGACUCUUGUUCUCUCCCUCUAUUCCAUGAGCCUGUAGUAAGAGGCUCUUUCUCUUCUUUCCCUUGAGUAACAUCCAUUCGCUUAGUAUGAUUUUCAUAUUAGUCUUCCCCUCUUUGUUUCCCAUCUCCCUGGGUGGGGUUGGUUCUGGUGGGAAAGAUAUGGGUCUUACAUUUCCUUCUGAAGAUUCACUUGCUUAAGUGCUUUGCUGGCUCAGGGUCAGAGAGUUCAACAUUUGCAGGAUUGAAACCAUAAAGAUCAAGGCCAAAACUUGGAGUUCUAUCCAAAAUUCUUUGGGAAGUCGGUGCAGUAUGCAGAAAGCAUUGAGGGGCUGUGUUUGCAUUCACCUGUGUUACUUAACAGGGUAGUUGUCAUAUUGUGCACCAGCUGAAGUUUCCUCAAAGACAUUGGAUUAAUUCCCAGCUACAGUGCAGUGCAGUAACAGGCAGGAGGUCACAAAUGUGUGGAUCAUUGUGGCUUGGUCUAUGUCUGUUUAGAUGAGGUUUAGCCUUCUGGCUAGCAGGAGGAAGAUGUUCCUGGUUUAGAAUGACCCAGAGACUGUUCAUUCUCUGAAUGAUUGGAGGAGCAACACCCUCAGUUAUUAUCAUUUUGGCCAGUUCUCUGAACUCUUUCCCUGUUUCACUAAACUCAUGUCUGUGUUGCUUUGGUGUAGUUUUCACUGGCUGUUCUUCAACCGCAUGCUAAUUUUGGGAUCCCUGAUGGGAGCGAUGUCUAAGAUCUGGGUGUUGUCUGCAUGUUUCUGGCCUGUGAGUCCAUGAUGUUUCACAGUCUCUCCCAGGCUGAAGUCUCAGAGCUCUCCUGUCAUGUAGGAAGGUACCAAUAGUAUAUGAAUGUAGAAACUUGAAGUACAGAGAGUUCAAGGGUUUGACUUACCUAAGAUCACAUGGCAAGAGACAAAUCCUCCCUUUACUUACAAGAUUUAGAAAACCCUAGGGGUCAGUAUGACUGUUCAAGUGAGAAAGGCAAGCAGGACGUCCUGAGAUGUGCAAAAAUUAUCUUCUGUUAGAGGUGAAGGUACUCAUUUCCUUCCAGGAGGCCCUCAGCAUCUUUCAGGAUUAGGUGUAUACAUUGUAAGUUCUUCUGGGCACGGACCUUGCCCUUGCCCUUGUCUGUGAAACACUCAUUUGAUGCUAUGUAUGGUAAAUAAUAAAUAAUGA